rnacentral:rRNA from 1 species
GCUAGUUGUAUUAACUCUUAGUUAAUACAAGAUCGACUAUGUCGACUAAAGUUCUAGGUAGAAUAAUGAUGAUGACAAUUUUCUACCUAUAUGUCUUGACCAAAUCUCGUGCCAGCAGUCGCGGUAAUACGUGGAAGACUAGUGUUAUUCAUCUUAAAUAGGUUUAAAGGGUACCUAGACGGUUUAUCUAGCCCAAAAUAGGGUACGGAUUAACUAGAGUUUUAUGUGAGAAGGGGAGUACUUUUAGAGUAAAGAUGAAAUUUUAUGAUACUAUGAGGAAACUGGUGGCGGCGAAAGCAACCUUCUAUGUAUAAACUGACGUUGAGGGACGAAGGCUUGGGUAGCAAAUAGGAUUAGAUACCCUAGUAGUCCAAGCAGACAAUUCUGAAUGCCAUAGAUUAGAUUUUUUUGAUUUAUAAAUGAAAGUGUAAGCAUUCCACCUUAGGAGUAAUGUGGCAACACAGGAACUGAAAUCAUUAGACCGUUUCUGAAACCAGUAGUGAAGUAUGUUAUUUAAUUUGAUAGUCCUCAAAAAACCUUACCACAACUUGAAUGUUAUUUAAUUAAUACAAGCGUUGCACGGCUGUCUUCAGUUAAUGUCGUGAGAUUUUGGUUAACUCCUUAAAUUAACGUAAACCCAUGCUUUA